GGGAGGACCACCGGGCUGCGGUGAAAGAGGCGAGGCGUCGUUUGUGGGUCAGAGGCGAGAACCAUCUAUAACUCGUUUACUGCUGUUCUGCAAGUGCGGCCUCCCUAAUCUCAUGAGUCACGCUGUCUCCACUUUGGCCAAGAGAACCUUGUCCACACUCGGGCCUCUCGUGUUUGGAAAGCACACAUUUUCUCAGGUAAGCCUCAUCAAAACACUCUUGUCAUUGUGCUCAGGGGUAACGAACCCGACUAGUAUCCAUGAGGAUGCAGGUUCCAUCCCUGGUCUCACUCAGUGGGUUAAGUAUCUGGUGUUGCCGUGAGCUAUGGUGUAGGUUGCAGUCGCAGCUCGGAUCCUGAGUUGCUGUGGCGGUGGCAUAGGCUGGCAGCUGCAGCUCCGAUUCGACCCCUAGCCUGGGAACCUCCAUAAGCCGUGGGUGCAGCCCUAAAAAGACAACAACAACAACAAAAAUCAUGUUAGAUGAGGCAUAGAAACACCAAGGCCCAGACCAGUCAAGUGACUAGCUUAAGAUCACACAGCAAGGAGGUGGCAGAGUUGGAACCCAUCCAGCCUUCUUUGCUAAAUAAUAAAACACCAAAAUCCGUGUAUGUGACACCGAUGGUGUGCCAGGCAGUGUGCCAGGUUUUUAACCUACAAAAUCUCAUUUAAUUCUCCCCAGUGCUUCUCAGACUUUGCUGUGUCUCUGUAUCCCCUGGAUGUGGUGUAAAGAGGCAGACCUGAUCCAGCAGGCCAGAGGUGGGGCCUGAGAUUCUGCAUUUUUUUUUUUCUUCUUUCUUUUGGCUGCCCGGCAGCAUAUGGAGUUCUCCAGCCAGGGAUCAGAUCUGAACUGCAGUUGUGACCUAUUCUGCAGCUGUGGUAGCACCAGAUGCUUAACUCACUGUGCCAGUCUGGGGUGGAACUUGUGUCCCAGGGCUCCUGAGAUGCCGCCAAUGCCACUGCGCCACAGCAGGAACUCCAGUUCUGCAUUUCUAACAAGCUCCCAGGGCUACUGAAGCUACUGGCUUCAGUGGGCUUACAAUUUGAAUGGCCAGGUCCCCUGGAUGUCCUCAGAGCUAGGAAUCACCCCCCUCAUUCUUUCAGGUGAACAAAUGUUGGCUCCAGGUGGUAGAGGGAUGGCUGAGGACCACCCAGCUAGCAGGAGGAAGAGCUGAGAUUUGGGCAUCAGCUCCAGCAUGCCAGCCCUUAUAUCCCAGCUGCCUCACCCUGGAGGUCAGCUUGCAUUGGCUCCGAAGUGCUGAAAUCCUAUAAUGUCACCUGACUCCAUCCCCACGCAGCUGGGCAGGGCAGCUAAUACGGCUUCCCCAUGCCCACGACUUCACAGCCACGUGGCCUGACCUCCCAGCACACAGAAGUCCAUUGGACACAGAAGUAACAGGAGGCCAAAUGUUAAGAAUGCACUUUUGGGAGUUCCCGUUGUGGCUCAGGGGUAACAGACCCGACUAGUAUCCAUGAGGACGUGGAUUGGAUCCCUGGCCUCAUUCAGUGGGUUAAGGAUCCGGCGUUGCUGUGAGCUGUGGUGUAGGUCGCAGACGCGCUUGGAUCCUGAGUUGCUGGGGUGGUGGCGUAGACUGGCAGCUACAGCUCCGAUUCAACCUCUCGUCUGGGAACUUCCAUUAUGUGUUGGGUGUGGCCCUAAAAAGACAAAAAAAAAAAAAA
ensembl:lncRNA